rnacentral:rRNA from 1 species
GUGUGGAAUUUUGGACAAUGGGCGCAAGCCUGAUCCAGCAAUGCCGCGUGCAGGAAGAAGGCCUUCGGGUUGUAAACUGCUUUUGUACGGAACGAAACGGUCCGGGUUAAUACCCUGGGCUAAUGACGGUACCGUAAGAAUAAGCACCGGCUAACUACGUGCCAGCAGCCGCGGUAAUACGUAGGGUGCAAGCGUUAAUCGGAAUUACUGGGCGUAAAGCGUGCGCAGGCGGUUUUGUAAGACAGGCGUGAAAUCCCCGGGCUCAACCUGGGAAUUGCGCUUGUGACUGCAAGGCUGGAGUGCGGCAGAGGGGGAUGGAAUUCCGCGUGUAGCAGUGAAAUGCGUAGAUAUGCGGAGGAACACCGAUGGCGAAGGCAAUCCCCUGGGCCUGCACUGACGCUCAUGCACGAAAGCGUGGGGAGCAAACAGGAUUAGAUACCCGAGUAGUCC